UACGAAGGGGGCUAGCGUUGUUCGGAAUCACUGGGCGUAAAGCGUAUGUAGGCGGAUUGUUAAGUCAGGGGUGAAAUCUUGCGGCUCAACCGUAAAAUUGCCAUUGAAACUGAUUAUCUUGAGUACAGUUGAGGUGGGCGGAAUGUAUCAUGUAGCGGUGAAAUGCUUAGAUAUGAUACAGAACACCUAUUGCGAAAGCAGCUCACUAAACUGCAACUGACGCUGAGGCACGAAAGCGUGGGGAUCAAACAGG
rnacentral:rRNA from 1 species